ACGUAGGGGGCGAGCGUUGUCCGAAUUCACUGGGCGUAAAGCGCGCGUAGGCGGGUUAUUAAGUUAGGGGUGAAAUCCCGAGGCUCAACCUCGGAACUGCCUUUAAAACUGGUAGCCUUGAGGUAUGGAGAGGGAAGUGGAAUUCCUGGUGUAGCGGUGAUAUGCGUAGAUAUCAGGAGGAACACCCGUGGCGAAGGCGGCUUCCUGGCCAUAUCCUGACGCUGAGGUGCGAAAGCUAGGGGAGCGAACGG
rnacentral:rRNA from 1 species